UUUCCAGACUCCUACGGGAGGCAGCAGUGGGGGAUAUUGCACAAUGGGGGGAACCCUGAUGCAGCGACGCCGCGUGGGUGAAGAAGCGCCUCGGCGCGUAAAGCCCUGUCAGCAGGGAAGAAAAUGACGGUACCUGAAGAAGAAGCCCCGGCUAACUACGUGCCAGCAGCCGCGGUAAUACGUAGGGGGCAAGCGUUAUCCGGAUUUACUGGGUGUAAAGGGAGCGUAGACGGCGACGCAAGUCUGGAGUGAAAGCCCGGGGCCCAACCCCGGGACUGCUCUGGAAACUGCGGCGCUGGAGUACGGGAGGGGCAGGCGGAAUUCCUGGCGUAGCGGUGAAAUGCGUAGAUAUCAGGAGGAACACCGGCGGCGAAGGCGGCCUGCUGGACCGUGACUGACGUUGAGGCUCGAGAGCGUGGGGAGCAAACAGGAUUAGAUACCCUGGUA
rnacentral:rRNA from 1 species